CCCUCACCCGGAACUGAGAAGGAACGCUAGUACCUUCAGACCUGUCCCUCCUCUGCCGCAAUACCGAUAUCGCCCCUGAAGCCUGCCGAGAGCCCUCCGUUGCUUUCAACUGUAGGAAGAUUCGGAAUUCCCGCAACUUCCCCGAGUCCCUACUCUCCCCCAUUCGGCCUCCCCAGGUCGUAGUGACCCUGCCGUGCUCCCCGAGUUGAGUGAAAUGGGAGCAAAUAUCAGACUUCCCAGAGAGGUUGAUUGCAGAGUUGAGGACGCGCCUGGAUGGGCUGCCCCGGCCUAGAGAGGGUGUGCGAGUUCCUUUAUUCUCCCUUCCAGUACCUGCCAAGAACCAGGGGUUUGAAAUCUGCAGGGGAAACCGGAACAACAAACUACAGAGGAGAUGCAGAAUAGGACCAGUGAGUAGGUUGUGGUCGAUCAGGGGAGAUUUUUUGAGAGCUGAGUUUUGAACAGCACUGUCAUAUCCAGUUCUCACUGGCACCAGGAUUGGCCAGCAGGGUAAGAGGAAGGCGUCCUGGAGCAGCGGUUCACACAUUUUUUGGUCUCAAGACCCCUUUACACUGCUAGGCAUUAUUGAGAACCCUGAAGAGCUUUUGUUUAUGUGGAUUAUAUUUUAACCAUAUUUACUGUGUUGGAAAUAUGCACUGAGAAAUGUUUAAAGUAUUGAUUCUCACACACGAAGGUAAAGUGAUGCUUCAUUUAAAAAAAAGAAAAAGAUUCUCAGCAUCUUAUCAGGGAAUUGCAAACUAAAACAACGAGAUACCUAUUAGAAUGAUUGAAAUUCAAAGCACGGACAACAAAUGCUGGUGAGGAUGUGGAGCAACAGGAACUCUCCUUCUCUGGUGCUGGGAAUGCAAAAUGAUACAACCACUUUGGAAGACAGUUUGACAGUUUCUUACAAAACUAAACAAACUCUUGCCAUAUGAUCCAACAGUUAAUACUCCUUGGUAUUUACCCAAAUGAGUUGAAAAUUUAUGCCUACACAAAACCCGCACACAAAUGAAUGACAGCGUUAUUCAUAAUUGCCCAAACUUGGAAGCAACCAGGAUGUUCUUUCAGUAGGUGAAUGGAUAAGCAAAAUGUGGUACAUCCAUACAAUGGGAUCAGUGAUAAACUGAAAUAAGCUAUCAAGCCACGAAGAAAAGAUACGGAGGAACCUUACAUGCAUAUUGCUCCUUGAAUGAAACCAGUCUGAAAAGGCUGCCUACUAUGUGAUCCAAACUGUGAUAUCCUGGAAAAGCAAAACUGUGGAGAUAGUAAAAAGAUCGGUGGUUGCCAGGGAUUGGGAGAUGGGAGGGAGGGAUGAAAUGGGUGGAACACAAUAGAUUUUUACAGAAAUGAUACUAUUCUGUAUGAUACUGUAAUGGUAUCGUGGUACAUACAUGUAAUUAUACAUUUUUCAGAACCCACAGAAUGUACAACACAGAGUGAGCCCUAGUGUAAACUAUAGACUUUGUUAAUAUGUUAAUAUUAGCUCAUGAAGUGUAACAAGUGUAUCACAUAAUGCAGGAUGUUAACAAUAGAAGACCCUGGGAGAGUGUUGAAGGGAUGUAUGGGAAAUGUCUGUACUAUUAAAAAGAAAUCCAUUAAUUUACAAACAAAUGUUAGUUCAGCUCACAGUUUAAUUGCACAAAUGCUUUUUCUUAGAACAACUAUGAAAUGAUUGCAUGUGGUUAUGCAGAAGCUCUAUGUUCCUCUCUCCUGUUUGUUCGCACAAAAUAAAAUAAUAAAAGAUGUA